UACGGGGGGGGCAAGCGUUGUUCGGAAUUACUGGGCGUAAAGGGCUCGUAGGCGGCUAACUAAGUCAGACGUGAAAUCCCUCAGCUUAACUGGGGAACUGCGUCUGAUACUGGAUGGCUUGGAUUCGGGAGAGGAAUGCGGAAUUCCAGGUGUAGCGGUGAAAUGCGUAGAUAUCUGGAGGAACACCGGUGGCGAAGGCGGCAUUCUGGACCGAUAUUGACGCUGAGGAGCGAAAGCCAGGGGAGCAAACGGG
rnacentral:rRNA from 1 species